rnacentral:snoRNA from 1 species
AAACAGAUUGAUUUAGGCCCUUUUAAUGCAUGACAGACCUGCCCCAAGUGGCCUUUCUGUUCCCAGGAGUACAGCACAA